rnacentral:rRNA from 1 species
AGAGUUUGAUCAUGGCUCAGAUUGAACGCUGGCGGCGUGCCUAACACAUGCAAGUCGAGCGGUAACAGGUGUAGCAAUACAUGCUGACGAGCGGCGAACGGGUGAGUAAUGCAUUGGAAUCUUCCCAGUAGUGGGGAAUAACCAGUCGAAAGAUUGGCUAAUACCGCAUACGUCUGUAAAGGGAAAGCGGGGGCUCGUAAGACCUCGCGCUAUUGGAUGAGCCAAUGUCGGAUUAGCUAGUUGGUGGGGUAAUGGCCUACCAAGGCGACAAUCCGUAGCUGGUCUGAGAGGACGACCAGCCACACCGGAACUGAGACACGGUCCGGACUCCUACGGGAGGCAGCAGUGGGGAAUAUUGGACAAUGGGGGAAACCCUGAUCCAGCGACGCCGCGUGUGUGAAGAAGGCCUGCGGGUUGUAAAGCACUUUUAGUGGGGACAAAAAGCUACGGACUAAUAUUCUGUGGUCUUGAUUUAACCCAAAGAAAAAGCACCGGCUAACUCUGUGCCAGCAGCCGCGGUAAUACAGAGGGUGCGAGCGUUAAUCGGAAUUACUGGGCGUAAAGCGCGCGUAGACGGUUUUGUAAGUCAGAUGUGAAAUCCCUGGGCUCAACCUGGGAACUGCAUUUGAUACUGCAUGGCUAGAGUAUCGAAGAGGGAAGUGGAAUUUCCGGUGUAGCGGUGAAAUGCGUAGAUAUCGGAAGGAACACCAGUGGCGAAAGCGACUUCCUGGUCGAAUACUGACGUUCAUGUGCGAAAGCGUGGGGAGCAAACAGGAUUAGAUACCCUAGUAGUCC